rnacentral:rRNA from 1 species
UGGGGAAUAUUGCACAAUGGGCGCAAGCCUGAUCCAGCCAUGCCGCGUGUGUGAAGAAGGCCUUCGGUUUGUAAAGCACUUUCAGCGGGGAGGAAGGCGAUAAGGUUAAUAACCUUGUCGAUUGACGUUACCCGCAGAAGAAGCACCGGCUAACUCCGUGCCAGCAGCCGCGGUAAUACGGAGGGUGCAAGCGUUAAUCGGAAUUACUGGGCGUAAAGCGCACGCAGGCGGUCUGUCAAGUCGGAUGUGAAAUCCCCGGGCUCAACCUGGGAACUGCAUUCGAAACUGGCAGGCUAGAGUCUUGUAGAGGGGGGUAGAAUUCCAGGUGUAGCGGUGAAAUGCGUAGAGAUCUGGAGGAAUACCGGUGGCGAAGGCGGCCCCCUGGACGAAGACUGACGCUCAGGUGCGAAAGCGUGGGGAGCAAACAGG